UCUCAUUCUGUAGGAAACUGAUAAUUUAAUACUUCAAGCAUUGUUAAAGAGUGAGCUGGAGGCCAGUCAACAGCCAGUGGAAGUCUACAAAAUUCAACUGGCUGAAAUAACAUCUGAGAAACACAAACUUCACGAACACCUGAAGACCUCUGCAGAGCAGCACCAGCACACAAUGAGUGCAUACCAGCAGAGGGUGUCUGCACUGCAGGAAGAGAGCCAAGCUGCCAAGGCAGAACAAGCUGCUGUAACUUCCGAAUUUGAGAGCUACAAAGUCCGAACUCACAACGUUCUCAAGCAACAGAAAAAUAAAUCUGUGUCUCAGGCUGAAACUGAAGGAGCUAAACAAGAAAGGUAGUCUA